rnacentral:rRNA from 12 species
AGGCGGGACUACCCGCUGAACUUAAGCAUAUCAAUAAGCGGAGGAAAAGAAACUAACAAGGAUUCCCCUAGUAACGGCGAGUGAAGCGGGAAGAGCUCAAAUUUGAAAUCUGGUAGCCUUCGGUUGCCCGAGUUGUAAUCUAGAGAAAUGUUUUCCGUGCCGGCCCAUGUACAAGUCCCUUGGAACAGGGCGUCAUAGAGGGUGAGAAUCCCGUCCUUGACAUGGACCCCCGGUGCUUUGUGAUACAUUUUCAACGAGUCGAGUUGUUUGGGAAUGCAGCUCAAAAUGGGUGGUGAAUUCCAUCUAAAGCUAAAUAUUGGCGAGAGACCGAUAGCGAACAAGUACCGUGAGGGAAAGAUGAAAAGCACUUUGGAAAGAGAGUUAAACAGUACGUGAAAUUGUUGAAAGGGAAACGCUUGAAGUCAGUCGCGUCC